UGAGGCGGGAGUCCGGCUCGCUCUCCCUCCCGGCUUAGUGGGCUUUGGACCCUCAGAGAAGCACACUUGACCUAAGAAUAACACCAAGUCCCUGUGCUGUGUCCUGUGUGUCCCUUGAAAGGGAAGAUCUGGAGCGACCCUUUCUGGUCCCCCAUCCUCGCAGGUGGCGCUUUUUUUUUUUUUUUUUUUUGGCUGUCGCCAGGCCCGUUAGUGAAAACAGUUGCCAACAAGAAAGGAGAACAGUUCCCCACCUCCUAAAAUCCUUGUUUAGCAGCGCAGGGCUCAACGCCCCCAUCCUUGGAGAGGCACCCCCAUGGGCACUUGUGCUUCUAGAAGGGACCAGGGCCCCUACGUGUCGCCCCCUCUCGCACCAUCUCCCCCCCACCAAGGCUGGCCUUCCCCGAGGAUCUAGAAGUGAGGGGUUGAUAAAAAGAAUCCGGUGUCCAGCUCUUUGACCAUAUAUCGCCUAGGCACGGUGAAAAACACUGUCGCGCCUUAACCCAUAGCAAUCUGAGAAGCGGAGCCCAGGACGAGACCUAGCUGCCUUUCAGCUACAGGGUCUGAACUUUGGAAAUGCUCCUGUUGGAAGCGAUCGCUAGACCGUUCACACAAUGAGGUUUUCACGGAUACUCCAGUUGCUGAUCUUUCAACUAUCAAAAUCUGUCUCUGGAGCCUAUUGUUUGCAAACUGAUCCGACACGUGUCUUCCCUCUCACGUAACCCUCAUGCCAAGCCCGCGGCGUGCUGCUGUCCUACCAGUUUCCCGGCUUCAGGGGCUGCAUCUGUGAAGUGAAGGAAGCAAGCAACCCUGUAAACUAGACAGUGCCACUUUCCAGCCUUCUCCUUUGCUUGGGAAAUAGCUGUCUCUCUGUCAGAACAGAAUGAAACAAAGCUCUAAGUGGCCUGUCACUGGAAUGGGGCAGAAUUUCUGCAUAUCAUUAGGAUGUGUAGAAGAGGGUGUGAAAAGGAAGGGGUUGAAGCCGAACAGUUGUACAGUUGAAAACCUGCUUCUUUUCAUGGACCACAGAAGUCAGCUAUGCUAUUGUGACGCCUAGAAUCGGUUUAGUGGUCUAUGGCUCAGAAUCUCUACUUAGGAUAAAUAAAUCUCCUGAAGCCUCUCCAUUAGAUUUGGGCAGAUAGAUAGUGUUUUCAAAGUCCAAUUUGCCUUUGGUCCUACUUCCUUCAUUAUAAAAAGCAGGGAAUGGAUCUACUUAUGUAACUGCUUAGAGAGGCCUGCUGACAAAGAUGGAUCGGCCAUUCGGGUACCCAUUAGGGCAGCAGAGGGCAUGGGUCAGAGUCAAAGCAGGGACAGUUGGGCAUGUUUUGGGGGCCAUGGGGGGGUGCUACCAAAUUAGGAAAGAGUGAUUUUGGUGGUAGAUCAUCAAUAAAACAAGAGACUUUCUUUGC